UUUCUAAGACGUUAUGUAUGGGUUCAGAAUUACAACAAAAAGCCCCGCUAGUCCGGGGCUUUUUGUUGUAUUAAAACCUAGAGAAAUUCGUUUUUCUUAGGUGAUGACAGGUGGGCUUUAUGCCCUUUUUUU
rfam:Alteromonas sp. RW2A1 genome.